AAACGCUCAUCAAAGUGGUUAGAG
rnacentral:snRNA from 1 species